GCUUUCCCGCAGCUCGCGCUGGACUAGGAGAGCUCGCCGCGCUGCCCCCCUCCCGGCUGGAUCGCCCCCUCCGGGGCCGCGCGGGGGACCGCUUGAGCGAGCCCGAGGGGCUCCUGCUCCCUCUUGCCGGAGAGCAAAAAAAUAAAAGCGGGGGAAGCAGAAGGAGGUGGUGCGGCCGCCGCCAGGCCAACGCGUUCUCGGGGACCGUCUGGGGCACGUCUCCAGGGGAUCGUGAACCGCAAAGAGGGCCCCCUUUUACCUACCUGCGGUGCUGCCUGGCCGAAAGAGGUUCUCCGCACAGUAAAUUCCCGGGAGGGCUGGAGAACUAGGCAGUUGCUGCCGCGGCUUCAAGAGACAGUCAGCCGCCGCAGCCCUCUAGGCCAGUUUACACCCCCAGUUAGCAGGUUUUCCCUUACAGAGCCUUUCCAGAGCGUGCUUUCUUACUGGAGACUUAGGGCGUGAAAAGUUUCCGAAAGCAACAUAAAUUAAACCUAUAGAACAACCCAGCGUUGAAGCAAAUCCUGAAGUUAUGGUGGGAGUCGCGGGCGUCGUCGUAUAAAAAAGAGAAGGUGAAUCCUCAAAAUAAUAUUGGGGGGUUCAAAGGAGGCAGGCCGAUUAGGUAUCCCUAAGAAAGCUAACCUCAGGGGCAAAUCUCCAGUUCGUUCCUGAAAGGCUUAUCUUGAAUUAAAAAAGCCCUAGGAAUGUGCCCCUCAAAUAACCAACAGUUUAUCUUUCUGUUCUAAUCAAGAAGUAGUACCAGAAAAAAUGUGGCAGAUAAAGACGAUUACCUCAUGCAUUUUUUUAAUGGGAAUGCUUAAACUUCAGCUUCCGAAACAAGUUCUGGCAUACCUGUAUAUUUCUAGCUGUUCAGGUGGCUUGCAUACAGUUUUUUUUAAUGAUAGUUGCAUUGCACAAACUCAACAAUAUGAAAGAGUGUACUGUACAGUAAUUCUAGUUAUGUUAAUAAGGGUGUGUUAUAUAAUCCAUUAUUUGCAUGUUGAUAGCAAAUCAAGUACAUUAGUUCAGUAACUGUAUAAUCUCUUCAUAUUACAAAUAAGAAAAGCUGAGAAAUAGUGACUUGCUUUAGCAUUCUUAGUAAGUUUGUGGCUGGAACAGCAGAUAUAGGAAAAAGCAAUGGGAUAAAAAUGAUAAGAGUGCAUAAUGCACUAUGCUGAGUUGGAAAUUAUGCAAAUGGAAGGUCAUCAUAGCAACUGGAGCUUUUAGUGAAAAAGAUUUGUGAUGACCAGUGUGAAUUUGUUCCAACUGUGAAUAGAUUCCUUUGGAGUGACAUAACCUAAAGUGAGUAAUUGAGAUGGAAUAAGUUUAAGAGGAUGUACUUAUUAUCCUUCAAAGUGUGAUAGACUUUAUAGUGGUGAUAAGUCACUUUGGAAAAGCCAAUUAAGGUGUAUCAGUGGAUUUGCAUUUUGAUUAAACAAGGUAUUGUAGGUUCCCUUAAUUUCUAUAUUUCAGCUCUUCAUUUUUUAUGACUUGGCUAUAGAAAUGUUUUCCUGGUUCUUAUGUGAAUAAAGAGAAUUUUUUUUUUUUGGUUCCAAGAUUUUUAUUAUAUGUUAUAGCUAGUUACCACCAGUUUGGACCAAACAUAUAUAUACAUUUUUAAAUGGAAAUCAUGUGGGCUAAACAGAGAGAGCAGGAAUAAAAUAAAAUAAUAAAGAAAGUAUGAGUUUGAAUACCACCACUCCGCUUUUGUUUUAGGAGAAAAGCUGGCAUUGCUCUCAAUGAGAAUUUUUGUCUCUGUGCAAAAUAAUCAGUCAUCUGGUGUUGGAUUCUGUUAAAAACACUUGUGCAUGUUAAAUACCAAAAUGCAUGGUGUUGGUUUCAAGGUAAGAAGGACUAUUGUAGCUACACAUAGUGGCAUUUCUGUUGAUUCAUCCUCUGUAUCUUGGAAAAGUUCCUAGAUUGCAUAUCCUUCAUGUGCUUUUACUUUCUAGCACUAAAUAUAUAUAAUUCUUAGUGUAGGGUGUUUCUCUUUCCUUGCAUGCUGUUACUAUAUACACAUCUAUUACAAAGACAUGAACAAAAUUGACACAUCAAAAUAAUAUGGUUUAUCUGGCUUUGGUUUGAUGUGCUGUGUGAACUUGAUUACUGUAAUUUAUGAACAGCGAUUUAAAGCUUGAUGUGUUGUGUGCACUCAGAUGAUUGUGGUUCAUGCCUAAUUGCAUGGCUUAGUAUGAUGUGUAAUCCCAGUCAUAGGGAACACUCUCAUGACACACUAAUUUUGCAAUGGUUUGCCAGUCAUCUCUCAUUUUAGCCACUGUUGACAUAUACUUCCUGUUUGUUUGUUUAUGACAUGUAGAAAAUCAAAGACAGUAACUUGAUCUGCAUUGGAGCCAUAGCAUACAAGAUGCUGGAACACUGAGUUUUUUUCCACCCUGUGAUACCCCUGAUUCACUGUCACACACCUGUAAGGAAAAAAUAUAUAGUCAGGAUCAGGAGAAAUAGCUUGGUAUUGUGGCACUCCUGCUGUGAGGCUGUGUAUCUAAAAGCUGGAAAGGUGGGCUAAUCAAAAUAAAACAAACAUUGAUUACAGUAAAUUAAAAAGUGGCAGGUAACUAUAACAUUAAAAAUAGGGAACAUAAUAAAGUAUGUCAUAAUUAUGACAAAUUAAUCCUGAAAAUAGAUUAUGCAGUAUUUUUUGCAAACUAAUGUAAAAUUAAUUGCAUGUGUCAAAUCAAGUGUACAUAAUUAAUAUGCUUGUUUCAUUUUUUUUAAAGCUCAUUUCAGAAUAAUUGUUGAUUCUCAUUAUUAAUUUCAGGUUGGAUUCAGGUUUUUUCCCCCUCCACUAGGGGGAGUGUUGCCAAAGUAGUGUUACACCUAUAAUAUUCCUGCUGACUAAAAGGUGAAUGUGAUAGCUGAUUUGCUCCUCAGCCUGUAUAAUCUGCAUUACUAGUUGGAAGAUCUUCUUAUCCUCCAAAACAGGUAUGGAAAUACCAAACUGACUAGAAUUACAGCAUAAAUAAUUGCAUCAUCUUAUAACAUUAGUGGGCUUCCUUCAUGGAUGGAAAAAGCAUUUAAUUUUUGGGUGGCAGAUUCUGGAUCUAGCUCAGCCAAUUAAAAAAAAUCUAGGUGAUAACCAGGGUGAUGAAUAAAUAACAAUUUCUAUUUAGAUUACCUUUUCAUCAUUAACCUUUCAAAGCAUCACCUAAUCUGCAAUACUGCAUAUAUUUAUCUGAAAUUAACAUUCAAGGAGUCAGCGGAGUUUACUUCUAAGUAAAUGUAAGUGCUGAAGAGGCCAUUUAGACCAUCAAGUCCAAUUGGUUGUUCAAUACAGGAGUCCAAAUCAAAGCUAUCUGUUCUCAUUUUGAUACCUACUUUGGCGUGUGUGCUCAAUGUAUAGAAGAGCACUACAAGUUAUAAUGCAUAUAUAUGUCUCCAAGAUAAUGAUUUAAUAUCAGUAUGAACAAAAUAUCAAUCCAAUACCAAAAAAAAGUUUUUUGCAGGAGUACAGAGAAUUUCUGACUAUAUAAGUAUCAUCCUGCUAAUGUAUCUCUGUUGGCUUCCCCCUGAGUUAGGAGUGUAGCUUUAUUUUCCUUUGUAAUAAGUAGCAAAGCAAUUAAAGAUCUAAGUAUCCUUUGUUGUAUUAAUAAAAUGUUUUUUCAUAAUGUUUAAAUACUUUUUUGACUGUUCCAGUGAAAAAACCUAAUGCAGGCAUUGUCUUAAUGUCAGUCUAAUUUAGGACUGCUCCAUACUUUCUGCUUCCCCAGCAUGAGAAUGAUCCACCUGUUGUUUUAUAAGGGCAAGAAUAGAUGACAUUGUCCUCAGUCCACCUGUAACUUGCUGGGAAGGUGACCUCCACCUGAAUUUUCUAGCUCUGCAUCGAAAGUAUUGUGUUUUUCAUCUUUGCUACCAGGAGCAGGUCAGUCCGGUCUGCUUACUGCACUUCAUUCUGUCUUAUGCAAAUACCUUUGUUCCAAUUGGCUGAAAUGUACCUCAGUACAUCCAUUUCCUCAGUCUCUGCUCUCUGCCUUUGAUGGCCAUCUCAUGCUGGACUAGUGGGCUUCCUGCCAGUCCAAGAGACCCUCAAUUAUGUCCUCCAGCACUACAGUUCAAAGGCAUCCAUUUUUCCUCAUCUGGGCUUUCUGAUAGUCCAGCUUUCACAACCUUCACAAUAUGUACUUUUGUUUAUCCUAAUCAAAAUCAGAAGAAAUGGAGAUUGCAUAGAAAUUGGGUCUCCCCCAGUCAGCUAAAAACGUUGAUUUUCACCUUCUGCCACCAUCUACAAAAUGAGAAAGGGGAUGGAUGAGUCAAGAGAGUGACCAGAUCCUUUUGAAUCUCCAGCAGUAUAUGAAUUCAGCUUGAUGACUUCUUCUAAUCCUUCUUUUCCAGUGGAAAAAUAGGUGGUCUUAUGAAGAUCUUAACCUAAUUAUAAGUACAUGAUAGAAUUACCUCUACUUUUUAAAAAAAUAUAUUUUUUCAUCAGUUGAAGAAAGGUGGCAGCAAAUAAUUAGAAUGAUCAAAUUUUUGCAGCCAACCUCCUCUGAAGAAUAUACAAAUAUUUCAGGAUAAAAUAGAGGAAAGGGGACCUUCCUGCUAUAAUUAUGAAAUUAUAACCCAUCAGGUCCUGCAGGAGAGGCACACUGUGGGUCCCAUCCGCCAAAGAAUUCCACCUGAUGGGGCCUAGGAGGCAAGCCUUUUCUGCCGUAGUACCCACCCUUUGGAACAUCAUCCCCCCAGAGGUGAGGUUAGCCCCAACCCUUAUGACCUUCCGGAAAGCUCUCAAAACAAAAAGUCUUGACUCUUUAUAGAUGGAGUACAAUGUGAUAGAACAACAUCAACUCAUGUUAUUUAUGGGGUUUUGUUUGUUUGUUUUUGGCCUGUGAGCACUAAUAACAUUGAUAGGAUGCUCUUUAGAAUGUUCCCUACCACCUAUGGGCUUGAUCUAUGUCCUUUCUGGCUCCUGUGUGUGACCAGCUGGAUCCAGGAAGUUGUCAGUUUCUUUCUCCAGGAGGCCCUGAUGUGUUGUUUCUCAAGAAGCCCUCCCUGAAUCCAGCUCUGUUGGACAACUAUAGGCCAAUCACUAAUCUUAUCAUUUUGGGGAAGUUUAUUGAAAGAGGGGCAAAGGUAAACUGCAAAGCAUCCUAGACUAAAUGGAUUAUCUGCAUUCCUUUCCAGUUAGGGUUCAUGCCUGGGCAUAAGAUGGAGAUGGCGUUGGAAGCUUUAAUUAGUUACCUUUCUUGGGACAUAGUUGGGAGAGUGCAUCCCUUUUGAUCCUAUUAAACAUCUCAGCAGCUUUCUGUACUAUUGAUCAUGGUAUUCUUCUGGCCCACUUACAAGAGUUGGAGUUUGGAGGCACUGAGCCACACUAGUUCCACUCCUUCCUGAGCAAGCUGUUCCAGUCACUAGUUAUCAGUGGGGGAGGUUGGCCUGGUGUCUGUUUUCUUGUGAGGUGCUUCACUGCUCAAUCCUCUCCCCCUACUUUUUAACAUCUAUAUGAAGCCACUGGGAGAGGUCACCUAUCAGUUUAGGAUACAGUAUCAUCAAUAUGCUGAUGAUACCCAACUGUAUAUUGCUACCCCAGGCCAUGCUGGUGAUGCAUGAACUUGAAGUUUUGUUGCAGCGUGUAGAGAGUAAGGAAGAUGACUUUGAUGGUAAUAUGCAAGAUCCAUUAUGAGGGCAACGGGAUGAAACAGAAUAGACAGAUAAUAUUUGGAAGUGGCUCAGACAGGCCCCUCCCUAAUUCACUGAACUAUAAGAAAGAGGAGGAGGUACAGCACAAUCAGACUUGCAAGUUGACGUCAACUCUGGUAGGUAGACAAGACCAAGAAAUUAAUUCUGCAGGAAGACUAAAAUUACUUUUAUUGAAAUUGGCUAUAAUAACAGAAUCUUGCAAGUCUGAUUGUGCUGUACCUCCUUCCCUUUCUUCUAUUCCUAGGAGUUAGGGAGGUGUUUGUCUGAGCUUCUUCCAAAUAUUUUCUCUCUGUUGUGGACUUAAAAUAUGUUUCACCCCACAUCACUCUGGUACUGGAUCUUACAUGUGUCCAUCUUUCAAUCUUCCUUACUCUCUGCAUUAUUUGAGGCCAUAAUGGUUCUGGAUAGGAUGAAACACACUGAUGUUGAACCCAAGCAAGAUGGAAUUGUUUGUACAUCAACGUUCCCUUUUGACACCAGUGUUCUUUUUUGAUGGAGAAGUACUACCCCUAAAGAAACAGGCACAUGGCUUAGCGGCCCACACUAACUCAUACCAUCAUCAUUGAUCAUCUGGACUACUGCAGUGUGCUCUACAUAGAGAUGCCUCUGAAGACCACCUGGGAGCUGCAAUUAAUGUAGAAUGCUGUGGCCUAUUUGCUACCUGGUAAUUUGCACCUAGAGCAAAAUGUACCUGUGCCUCAGGCUCUACAAUGGUUCCCAAUUGGUUUCUAGGUGCAAUUCAAAGUGCUGUUUUUGACCUAUGAAUUCCUCUAUGGCUUAGCACCUGGAUACUUGCAGAAUUGACUGCAUUCUUGAAUCACAAUCAGUUGGGUUUAUAUGAUUGUCCCUGGAAUAACUGCAGGUUGUGCCCUCCUUCUGUGAAAUUAUACAGGGACCAUAAAUUGUCUACCCCUAAAGUACACAAUUUGGUUUAGAUAUGUUUAAACUAUUUAUAUCUGUAAAAUACUGUUCUAGUGCUUUGUCAGUGAGAUGUAGAUCUACAGAAAUACAUUACUGAUACUGAAUAAACUUGUGAUUUCUUGAUCAUUGUGUAUACUUUACGUAGAGAUGCAAAGGAAGGGAGGGUAGAAUUGGGGAAUGGACUGUUUUUUUCGCUAUUUUUUCCAAGACUUUUG